AGCAGCCGCGGUAAUUCCAGCUCCAAUAGCGUAUAUUAAAGUUGUUGCAGUUAAAAAGCUCGUAGUUGAAUUUCGGGGUCAAUAAGUUGGUCAUGCCAAUGGUAUGCCCUGGCUUUAUUGAUUCCUACCUCUUGACGAACUGUGAUGCCAUUAAUUUGGUGUUGCAAGGAAUCAGGACUGUUACCUUGAAAAAAUUAGAGUGUUUAAAGCAAGCUUACGCUUGAAUACAUUAGCAUGGAAUAAUGAAAUAGGACGUUUGAUCCUAUUUUGUUGGUUUCUAGGAUCGACGUAAUGAUUAAUAGGGAUAGUUGGGGGCAUUAGUAUUCAAUUGUCAGAGGUGAAAUUCUUGGAUUUAUUGAAGACUAACUACUGCGAAAGCAUUUGCCAAGGAUGUUUUCAUUAAUCAAGAACGAAAGUUAGGGGAUCGAAGACGAUCAGAUACCGUCGUAGUCUUAACCAUAAACUAUGCCGACUAGGGAUCGGAUGAUGUUAAUUUUUAAUGA
rnacentral:rRNA from 1 species